GAUGAACGCUAGCUACAGGCUUAACACAUGCAAGUCGAGGGGAAACGGCAUCGAAAGCUUGCUUUUGAUGGGCGUCGACCGGCGCACGGGUGAGUAACGCGUAUCCAACCUGCCCAUCACUUGGGAAUAACCUUGCGAAAGUAAGACUAAUGCCCAAUGACAUCCCACGAAGGCAUCCGAAUGGGAUUAAAGAUUUAUCGGUGAUGGAUGGGGAUGCGUCUGAUUAGCUUGUUGGCGGGGUGACGGCCCACCAAGGCAACGAUCAGUAGGGGUUCUGAGAGGAAGGUCCCCCACAUGGGAACUGAGACACGGUCCAAACUCCUACGGGAGGCAGCAGUGAGGAAUAUUGGUCAAUGGGCGAGAGCCUGAACCAGCCAAGUAGCGUGCAGGAUGACGGCCCUAUGGGUUGUAAACUGCUUUUAUAAGGGAAUAAAGUGGGUCACGUGUGACUUUUUGCAUGUACCUUAUGAAUAAGGACCGGCUAAUUCCGUG
rnacentral:rRNA from 1 species